UUAUAUGGUUCUCUCGCGAGAUUAAUAGGGAAGGCGGUGUCAGUCCGCCGCAGCCCCCGCUGCCGUAUUAGAGUAUGACACAGAUGUAUGCCACUGGAUCGUUUUCUGGGAAGGUUUCUGCUGUCAGAUGAUCCUUGAGCCGGAAGACCUGCCAUAUAAUGU
rnacentral:ncRNA from 1 species